rnacentral:rRNA from 1 species
AAUCAACGCUGGCGGCGUGCCUCAGACAUGCAAGUCGAACGCGAAACCUUCCUUCGGGAGGGGAGUAGAGUGGCGCACGGGUGAGUAACACGUGGGAACCUACCUUCUGGUACGGAACAACCAAGGGAAACUUUGGCUAAGACCGUAUACGACCUCCGGGUGAAAGAUUGAUCGCCGGAAGAGGGGCCCGCGUCCGAUUAGGUAGUUGGUGAGGUAACGGCUCACCAAGCCUUCGAUCGGUAGCUGGUCNGAGAGGAUGACCAGCCACACUGGGACUGAGACACGGCCCAGACUCCUACGGGAGGCAGCAGUGGGGAAUAUUGGACAAUGGGCGCAAGCCUGAUCCAGCCAUGCCGCGUGAGUGAUGAAGGCCUUCGGUUGUAAGUAC